GGAUUUAGCUCAGUGGUAGAGCGCUUGCCUAGGAAGCGCAAGGCCCUGGGUUCGAUCCCCAGCUCCG
rfam:Rattus norvegicus chromosome 4, whole genome shotgun sequence.